AGGUACUACGACCCGUAACCGACGAAAGGGGGGGGCGGUUGCCACGGUGAGAUUCAUGACUGGGUG
rnacentral:rRNA from 1 species